UACAGAGGGGGCAAGCGUUGUUCGGAAUUACUGGGCGUAAAGGGCGCGUAGGCGGCCUUCUAAGUCGAACGUGAAAUCCCUGGGCUCAACCCAGGAACUGCGUCCGAUACUGGAAGGCUUGAAUCCGGGAGAGGGAUGUGGAAUUCCGGGUGUAGUGGUGAAAUGCGUAGAGAUCCGGAGGAACCCCAGAGGCGAAGGCGGCGUCCUGGCUCGCAUCUGACGCUCAGACACGACAGCAUGGGGAGCGAACGGG
rnacentral:rRNA from 1 species